AUGAACGCUGGCGGCGUGCCUAAUACAUGCAAGUCGAGCGAACGGACGAGAAGCUUGCUUCUCUGAUGUUAGCGGCGGACGGGUGAGUAACACGUGGAUAACCUACCUAUAAGACUGGGAUAACUUCGGGAAACCGGAGCUAAUACCGGAUAAUAUUUUGAACCGCAUGGUUCAAAAGUGAAAGACGGUCUUGCUGUCACUUAUAGAUGGAUCCGCGCUGCAUUAGCUAGUUGGUAAGGUAACGGCUUACCAAGGCAACGAUGCAUAGCCGACCUGAGAGGGUGAUCGGCCACACGGGAACUGAGACACGAUCCAGACUCCUACGGGAGGCAGCAGUAGGGAAUCUUCCGCAAGGGGCGAAAGCCUGACGGAGCAAAGCCGCGUGAGUGAUGAAGGUCUUCGGAUCGUAAAACUCUGUUAUUAGGGAAGAACAUAUGUGUAAGUAACUGUGCACAUCUUGACGGUACCUAAUCAGAAAGCCACGGCUAACUACGUG
rnacentral:rRNA from 1 species